rnacentral:lncRNA from 1 species
AUUGACUGGACCUCCAGCCGAUCCUCCAUAGCUGAAGCAAUCACCUCGGCCUCUUUGUACAUAAUAUAUCUCUCCAUCUGGUACAGAUAACUCCUCAACCUCUUCCUUCUCAUCAUAAUUUUGUUAUCCUUGGAGACAUUCAGCACCCCUAAAUCACUUCUAAAAAUGAAGCCCUUUUCCUCCAAGUAUCUAAGUGAUACUAUGUUCCUCCUG